UGAAGCAAAAGUCCUCUUCACUCUGAUUGGCCAUUUUAGGUCAUGUGCCUUCUGCUGGACCUGUUACAGGCACCAGGGAAUUCUGUGUGCUGAUUGGCUGAAAUAAGCCCUGGAGAGGAAGAUGGGAUAUGUGAUUGGCUAAUUGGUAUCCAUUCAUAAGAAGAGAUGAAACUAACUCCCAAGUGCAGGGGCAGUGUGGAAACAAAGGGGACACCACCACCCAUACUGGGUGCCCCGGGGAGGGAAGGAAGGCACGGUGGCUGGUGAGGGUCGGAGACGGAGAAGCCCUCAGAAGGCCAGGAGAAUGACUGGCUGCCCUACAGAGCCUGCCAAGGACAUGCAGACACAGACGAGGAGAAAGAUAAAAUGUUAAGAAGACCUGAAAGGCAGGGCUGGUGAUCCGGGUGCCAGGAGCAGCAGCUGCCUUUGCUGCCGCGGCCCCUCUCCAAUCCAUCAUGGCGUGGACGCCUGGAAAAGUGCAAAUAAACCUGGGGUUAUGAUAUUUUUCGAAAAAAAGAAGUGCGGCAGCUCAGGUCUGUUUUGGGCCAUCAGCUGAAUCCACCGGAGAGAGAGAGCGAUGCUGAAAUAUUUGCGCGUGUUCUCGUGGAACAUUUACUGUGGGACUCUGGGCUCCAGUAAAGCUUUUAUAUAAAUUAUUCAUUUCGGAAUUCAGACGAAACGCCACAGCCCUCCCACCCCGA